GCCGGGUGUGGCGGUGCACGCCUGUAGUCCCAGCUACUUGGGAGGCUGAGGCAGGAGAAUUGCUUGAACCCGGGAGGCGGAGGCUGCAGUGAGCCAAGAUCACGCCACUGCACUCCAGCCUGGGUGACAGAGCGAGACUCUGUUUCAA
rnacentral:SRP_RNA from 1 species